AAUCUAAUUAACUAAGUAAAUCUUUUGCAGGUGCUGAUCCUACACUGAAGAAUAAUGAGAAUAAAACUGCUUUUGAUUUAGCAAAAGAUUCCUGCACAGCAGCUUUGCUGAAACCAUAUCAGAGGCAUUCAUCGUUUGCUGAUGCUGAAGAGUAUGGAGACAGUGAUGAUUCUGAAUAAGAUUUGCACUUAUUGAAAGAAUAAAAAGGCAUUAUUUCACAGUUCAUACAUGAACUAGUCAGUAUUCUAAAGCUUGUACAUUGUGUAAAAGUGUUUGCAAUUGUUGAGUAUUUGUUUAAAAAAUAAAUAAGCAGACAAGGA